AUUGAACGCUGGCGGCAGGCCUAACACAUGCAAGUCGAACGAGUGGCGGACGGGUGAGUAAUGUCUGGGCAACUGCCCGAUGGAGGGGGAUAACUACUGGAACCGGUAGCUAAUACCGCAUACCCUCAGAUGUGCCCAUGUGGGAUUAGCUUGUAGGUGGGGUAAUGGCUCACCUAGGCGACGAUCCCUAGCUGGUCUGAGAGGAUGACCAGCCACACUGGAACUGAGACACGGUCCAGACUCCUACGGGAGGCAGCAGUGGGGAAUAUUGCACAAUGGGCGCAAGCCUGAUGCAGCCAUGCCGCGUGUAUGAAGAAGGCCUUCGGGUUGUAAAGUACUUUCAGCGGGGAGGCGUUACCCGCAGAAGAAGCACCGGCUAACUCCGUGCCAGCAGCCGCGGUAAUUC
rnacentral:rRNA from 1 species